AUCGCGCGGUGGCGGCUACAUUUACGUUCAAUCAGACCGAAUCCUCGCGAGGCCGGACGAGAUUAUUUGACAUAUGUACCACGAUGCGAGUGCAACGAACGAUUAGAAGACUUGUGCAUGUAUUUCAACUGACACGUAAAUGGAUUAUCACUACAACUUCACGUGACGUCAUGUUGAAAUCGAUCCGUUCUGCGGCGGGGCUUAUAAUUGGAUAAAAAAACACAAGGAGG